rnacentral:rRNA from 1 species
CCUACGGGUGGCAGCAGUGGGGGAUAUUGCACAAUGGGGGCAACCCUGAUGCAGCGACGCCGCGUGUAGGAAGACGGCCCUCUGGAUUGUAAACCACUGUCCCCAGGGACGAAGAUGACGGUACCUGGGGCGGUAGCUCCGGCUAACUACGUGCCAGCAGCCGCGGUAAUACGUAGGGAGCCAGCGUUGUCCGGAAUUACUGGGUGUAAAGGGAGCGUAGGCGGGAUGGCAAGUUGGGUGUUAAAUCUACCGGCUCAACUGGUAGUCUCACUCAAAACUGCUAUUCUUGAGUGAAGUAGAGGCAGGCGGAAUUCCUAGGGGAGCGGGGAAAUGCGUAGAUAUGAGGAGGAACACCAGGGGCGAAGGCGGCCUGCUGGGCUUAUACUGACGCUGAGGCUCGAAAGUGUGGGGAGCAAACAGGAUUAGAUACCCCUGUAGUC